ACGGGAGGCAGCAGUGGGGGAUAUUGCACAAUGGGGGAAACCCUGAUGCAGCGACGCCGCGUGAGUGAUGAAGUAUUUCGGUAUGUAAAGCUCUAUCAGCAGGGAAGAAAAUGACGGUACCUGACUAAGAAGCUCCGGCUAAAUACGUGCCAGCAGCCGCGGUAAUACGUAUGGAGCAAGCGUUAUCCGGAUUUACUGGGUGUAAAGGGAGCGUAGACGGUGACGCAAGUCUGAAGUGAAAGGUGUGGGCUCAACCCGCAAACUGCUUUGGAAACUGUGUGACUAGAGUGGCGGAGAGGUAAGUGGAAUUCCUAGUGUAGCGGUGAAAUGCGUAGAUAUUAGGAGGAACACCAGUGGCGAAGGCGGCUUACUGGACGAUAACUGACGUUGAGGCUCGAAAGCGUGGGGAGCAAACAGGAUUAGAUACCCUGGUA
rnacentral:rRNA from 1 species